rnacentral:rRNA from 1 species
UACAGAGGGUGCAAGCGUUGUUCGGAAUUAUUGGGCGUAAAGCGCGUGUAGGCGGCUCGUUAUGUCGGGUGUGAAAGCCCUCAGCUUAACUGAGGAAGUGCGCCCGAAAACUGGCGAGCUUGAGUGUCGGAGAGGAUAGCGGAACACCCGGUGUAGAGGUGAAAUUCGUAGAUAUCGGGUAGAACACCAGUGGCGAAGGCGGCUAUCUGGACGACAACUGACGCUGAGACGCGAAAGCGUGGGGAGCAACAGG